rnacentral:rRNA from 1 species
UACAGAGACUGCAAGCGUUAUCCGGAUUUAUUGGGUUUAAAGGGUCCGUAGGCGGAUCGUUAAGUCAGCGGUGAAAGCCCACAGCUCAACUGUGGAACUGCCGUUGAUACUGGCGAUCUUGAAUAUGUAUGAAGUUGGCGGAAUGUGUGGUGUAGCGGUGAAAUGCUUAGAUAUCACACAGAACACCGAUUGCGAAGGCAGCUGGCUAAUACGUGAUUGACGCUGAGGGACGAAAGUGUGGGGGUCAAACAGG